GGGGUCGUGGGGUAGCUUGGCCUAUCCUUCGAGCUUUGGGAGCUUGGGACCUGAGUUCAAAUCUCAGCGACCCCA
rnacentral:tRNA from 1 species